rnacentral:rRNA from 1 species
GAUGAACGCUGGCGGCGUGCCUAAUACAUGCAAGUCGAGCGAACAGAUAAGGAGCUUGCUCCUUUGACGUUAGCGGCGGACGGGUGAGUAACACGUGGGUAACCUAUCUAUAAGACUGGAAUAACUCCGGGAAACCGGGGCUAAUGCCGGAUAACAUGUUGAACCGCAUGGUUCUACAGUGAAAGGCGGCUUUGCUGUCACUUAUAGAUGGACCCGCGCCGUAUUAGCUAGUUGGUGAGGUAACGGCUCACCAAGGCAACGAUACGUAGCCGACCUGAGAGGGUGAUCGGCCACACUGGAACUGAGACACGGUCCAGACUCCUACGGGAGGCAGCAGUAGGGAAUCUUCCGCAAUAGGCGAAAGCCUGACGGAGCAACGCCGCGUGAGUGAUGAAGGUCUUCGGAUCGUAAAACUCUGUUAUUAGGGAAGAACAAAUGCGUAAGUAACUGUGCGCGUCUUGACGGUACCUAAUCAGAAAGCCACGGCUAACUACGUG